rnacentral:lncRNA from 1 species
GUGGCCGUCGGCCAGUCAGCGGCUUCGAAGAAGGGUGGCCGCGGGCUACGGCGGCCGGCAGGGGGCGGCAGCGGCCGUUGCCCAGGGUGCGGAGGCGGGGUCGGGGGCCUGGAGCACUGCGAGCCCGGCGGGCCACGACUGGUGCGGGCUGAGGCCAUGGGCGACCGAGGCGGCACGGUCAGCUCCCGGCGCCGGAGGACCAGUUCGCGGCCCUCCGGCCAGGGUGGCGGCGGGCCGGUGGGAGCGGAAGAGGAGGUGCGGGACGGGGCUCCGGGCCCCGACGUGGGCGCUGGGGGCGACGCGCCGGCCCCGGCCGCCGCCUCGGACAAGGACGGAGACUCUAACGUGGGCAGCGGACACUGGGAGCUGAGGUAACGGAGCGCUUGACCCCUCGCCUAUGACCCCAGGCCCCGGGACUCUCCCGGUCAGAGUGGCCAGAGCAGUGAGUCCGGAGACGUGUCCCUCUUGGGCACCGCGGGUGCACUGAGACUUUCGGGGGAGGGUCACCUGCCAAGGUCACCCAGGUCAGGGCCAGGAGCUGGCCUUCCUGGCCAGACAGAGGGGAGCGGAGGAACAGCCCCUUUUCCAAAACACUUGGGCUUGUGCACAGUCAACUGGGUCCAAAGGCCCUUUAUGAGGGGCCAGCUGGCGGCCUGGUCCCCUCCUGGGUGCAUCUGAUGGGGGGCCUUGUGGUGAAGGGGUUCUUUUGAGGGCUGUGAGGGAUAGGUGCCAGUAGGGAAGGCUCCCCAAAGAGGAUUGGCCUGCCAGGGAGGGUCUGGCAGGACUCGGCUUGUCUGAAGGCAGGAGUGAGUGCAGGAGACCUUCUUAUUGUUGCAGACCUUCCUGAGUGGUGGCCUGGCCCAUCAUCCCUCACCCAGUGGUUAGAGACCUGUUUACGGUACCAGAAUGAGUGCUGCUAUGGAGAGUUGGGUCUUGUGUGAGGACUUUCAUCCCCUGGUUGUAGUACAGGAGAGGGGUUUGAUGGGGACACACCUACCAGUGGGGCCCUGCUUAGCUGAAAGAAGGACAGGAAGGGGUGGAGGACUUGGCCUGCCUGGGCCUGGGUCUUCCCCAAAUCUCCCUUUCUUGUCACGAUUCUCAGAUUCUCAGGGACUCUGGCAUAGGGGGCAGCUAAGGGGCUAGGAGGAAGGGCUGAUUGGCAAGAAUUUGCUUUCUCAGUAAACAAGAACUGAGGCUUUCUUUACCUAGCACUCUAGGGAGGGGGCUGAGGGAGGGCAGCUGGGGUACAGGCCCUGUCACUCUCCUUGGUGGUGCUCACAGUUCACCUGGGAGAUAAGAUAACCUCAGUGUGAGGCAGACAUGGCACACUGUGAACAAAGGUCGGAUGAGGAGGCCAUGAAGAUACCAUGGGGGAGGAGGCUGGCCCUCUUAAGAGGGGCACUGGCUUCUUGGCGCCUGGGAAUGUACUGAGGGAGGCUGGUCCAGUACCUCCUGCCUGAAUAGGAGUUGAGGGCCCUAUUCAGGCUCUAUUCUCUGUUAAAUGCCCCAAGUUGCCCUCCAGAAGGCUGGGUGAUGGCUUGUAUGAUUUCCAGAGGGGUUGGGAAUUGGGGUUAUUUUGUGUGAGAUUGAUAGGGAGGUCCCUACUGGGCCAAGCUACAACCUAGGGUUAGGCAGGGGAGAGCAGUCACAUAUCUUCUUUGCACUGGCCAGUGAGCCUUUUCUGUGUCCCUGCUGUAUGAAGCCAGUGGGAGAGGAGGAGGGUCUCCCUGGGAAGAGGAAUAGUAGAUGGCAGCAAUAGGGCCAUCCAGGGCUGGAAAGUGAGCUAGCUGAUUAUCCAUUUGUGGGUCUUCAGGACAAGUAGGCUCUGUAUGCUUAUCUCUCCACCCUGGGGAGGCAGCAGGGCUUGAGGAUUGCUGGUUGGGGUGCUAGACUCCAUUCUCCUUGCUGUCAGGCCAGUCCUUGCUCUGGCUAUGUUCCCUGAACUUGGCCUGUAGCUCACCCCUUUGUCACCCUUUUCUCACCAGUUUUGUUUCCUACUUUUGGCCUAGCCAGCCUUCCUCUCCCCCUUCCUUCUGACUCCUUGAGCUCUGGCCUCUUCCCCUCCCCAACACUUCCUGCUCACCUGGGACUGGGCAGGCAAGCUAGGCUCUGGGUAUGAGCUCAUUUCUUCUGCCCUGUGGCAAGGUAAGGCUGUGAGGCAGGAAGGGGAGGUACUCCUUACUCUGCCUCCUGUUUACCCUUCCAGGCUCUGCAGACUCCCACUGGUCCUUAGUUCACAGGCACCCUAGGCAUGAUCUUGUGGUUUUGAGGUUCUCCUAGGUGUUUGUCCCUGGGUGUCCUACCUACCUCUCCAGCAGAGUGUGAGAGGCAUGGGGAGCCUGUCCCAACCAUCUGGUACUCCAGAGGUUGUUGUAGAGGAAGUGCUGAAGAGGUGGCAGCUGGGAGGGGAGCCAGCUCUCUGCUCCCCUCUUUGCUCUGCUUGGCCUUGGAGCUUGACUUUGUGGUCCAAGAGGUCCACACUUAAAAGCUGUCUUUGGGCAUGGUAUAGACCUUGGCAAGUGCAUCAUGGGGAUGCACAAUGCCCAUGUGAUAUUGAGUGUGGGGCAAGAAGGAGAGGGCACCCCUUCCUGCUCUGCCUGCAGUUCACCUGGGUGGGCUUGGGGCUGCAGGAGGGAGAGAGGGCUGUUACAGGUCCUCUUGGUCCCAGGGAGUGGGCGUAGGACAGUUGGAAGGUGCAUGGCAUGGGCAGGCUCUCUAGCAGGUGAAAGGAGGAAAAAAGUAUCUUGGGCAUGGCUGGACAGCACUCUCCUGCUUUGCAGCCUGCCCUCUAGCCCAUUUGCUGCUGACUACACUGGCAAGCCUGGGCCUUUGUGGGCAUUGGAGUAGGGGGGCUUCCUCCCCUGGGUCAGGGGCCUGCAUCAGGGGAUGGGGUCCCACCUGCAGUAGCUGGUGGACCUGAGGUAUGGGUGUGUGCCAUUGAGGAAGGCCUUGAAGCCCAACAAGAGGGAUCCGAAGAAGCCCUUGUGUGGCUUUCUGGCAUUGGCCUUGGAAUGCAAAACCCUUUCCCUGCUACUGUCUUCAUCUUGGUAAUGGUCACAGAUAAAGCAGCAUACUCUUGGUGGCCCAAAGGGGGCAGAGGUCACACUGUUGUGAAACAGCCAUGUGGUGUGAAGACAGCUGGACAUUCGGUAGGUCGUAGUAUAAGGAGGCUGGCCAGGCUUUGGGAUAAUUCUGGUGAAAGUGAAUGGGCUCUAGCUUGCCAGAGAGGGGGGCAGUUGAGAGGUCCUCUCCAGUGGACAGGCCCACAGAGGCUAUCCUUCUUGCCUCAUGGUAUUGGGGCUCUGGGGAGGGCAGACAUCUGAGUGAAGCCAGUUGGGGGGUGCCCAGGGGGAAACAGUUGGAAAAGCAGAUACAGACUUCGGGUGAAGAAGGGCUCAGGUAGAGACCACAGUUUCACUGUAUGGCUUAAGGUGGACCUAGUGGAGAUACAGGAAGCCCAGGACUGAGUUUGGGAGAGAGUGUUGGAUAAUGGCAGGGGCUGAAGUUGGAGUGGAGCUGCCUUGUAUUCCUGCCUGAGACAGGCAGUAGGAGAGGUGUUACCACCCUCCCGGUGUCCAGAGGCUGCCAGGGGUAGUGUGGAUGGUACCAGGCUCUGAGCAGACACCUGGGGUGCAAAGGUUGAGUCUGUUGGCACUGCCCCUUAGCCUCCUUGGUCCCUCUCCUUCUAGGUGGGGCUGCCUUUGAUCAGAACCAGACUUGCUUCUGGGGACUGAAGCAAGCCAACUCUGAGAGGGCAUCCGUGCCAUAGUGCUGGUCACGGGCUCCUCUACUUUCUCCCCCUGCUUACAUGCCCUGAGAGGGAGAUUGUGUUGGGGGAGGGAAGGGGAGGCUCUGGCUUCUGCUCUUACAAAACUAAAGCCUUACUCAAUGCCACAUGGGGCUUCCUGGAGGCAUAGCAGCUGGAGGGCAAGGCAGGGUCAUAGUUGGUAUGAGUGAGCCAGGGUACUGGUUCCUGGGGUGUGGGCUCUGGCCUUGCUCGUGUUUGUUGUUGCCAGGAGCUGGGUCUGGACCUUAUCUCAGCCAUAUCACCUGGCCCCUUUGCCAGGCCUAGGUACUCCUCUUCACAGGCAGGGUCUUUUGGGAGUGUCUCCUACCCUAGCACUUGGUGGAAAUGUUCCUGGUUUGAGGCCUGCUUCUGCCAGAAGCUUCUCUGCCAUCAGGUCCUGGCCCCCUAGUGAUCUCCUCUUGGCAUUCCCAGCCUAGGCAGGAACAUUGCAUUUACCAUAAAAGCACAUGAGGUCUGAGUCACUGCCCCCAGAAAGGUGCACGUUAGGCUGGGAGGCUGGGCUGGCCAUAGGACUGGGUCAUUGCCCACUCAGGCUUGGGAGUCUAAAUGUGGGGAGGAGGCUCAUCUGGGCUCUGGUGUCUGCAGACCCUUUAAUUUAUUGGGUGGGUAGAAUGGGUGGACUGAGCAGGGUGGACUCCACCCCCACAUCUUUUUUCCCAACAGUGCUGGGUGGGUCCACAGAUCCCCAAGUUGUAUUCUUCUGGUGGCCUGAGAGCCUGAUUUCAGUCAGGGCCCUCUGGGGAGCAAAGCCAGGCUCCUGACCCGGGGUGCUCAAGCCCCAUAUAAACUUGGUCAGCUCCUUCCUGUCUUUUAUGAAUCUUCUCUGCCUAGAGGAAAAGGCCUCUGCAUGGUCCUGAGAGUUUUGCCUACUAUAGGCCAUAUGGCUGCUGGUAUAACCUUUUCUGGGUCCUCCCCUUGAAGAAUGGGGUACGUGGGCAGAAGAGACAGUUGGCGGGGGAUGGGUCACAACAGUGGGCCCAUCUCUGCCCUCUGGCAUCUGCUCACCAAGGGGCCUAUUCCCUACCUUGUCAGGUGCCAUCGCCUACAGGAUUCUUUGUUCAGCUCUGACAGUGGCUUCAGCAACUACAGAGGCAUCCUGAAUUGGUGUGUGGUGAUGCUGGUGAGUAGGAUGGGGUAUGGAAGCAGGCCCACCUGUGG